CACGUAGGGUGCGAGCGUUGUCCGGAAUUAUUGGGCGUAAAGAGCUCGUAGGCGGUGUGUCGCGUCGGCCGUGAAAACCUGCAGCUUAACUGUGGGCUUGCGGUCGAUACGGGCAUCACUGGAGUGCGGUAGGGGAGACUGGAAUUCCUGGUGUAGCGGUGAAAUGCGCAGAUAUCAGGAGGAACACCGGUGGCGAAGGCGGGUCUCUGGGCCGUAACUGACGCUGAGGAGCGAAAGCGUGGGGAGCGAACAGG
rnacentral:rRNA from 1 species